CCCAGAGGUAUUGAUGGGUGAACAUCAAAAAGUUUUUAUCGCUUUGUUUCACCAACCUGCGCAGAUGCGCAGGUUUUUUUU
rfam:Triticum urartu cultivar G1812 contig232511, whole genome shotgun sequence.